rnacentral:rRNA from 1 species
GCAAGUCUGGUGCCAGCAGCCGCGGUAAUUCCAGCUCCAAUAGCGUAUAUUAAAGUUGUUGCAGUUAAAAAGCUCGUAGUUGAACCUUGGGCUUGGUUGGCCGGUCCGCCUUUUUGGCGAGUACUGGACCCAACCGAGCCUUUCCUUCUGGCUAACCUUUCGCCCUUGUGGUGUUUGGCGAACCAGGACUUUUACUUUGAAAAAAUUAGAGUGUUCAAAGCAGGCCUUUGCUCGAAUAUAUUAGCAUGGAAUAAUAGAAUAGGACGUUAUGGUUCUAUUUUGUUGGUUUCUAGGACCAUCGUAAUGAUUAAUAGGGACGGUCGGGGGCAUCAGUAUUCAGUUGUCAGAGGUGAAAUUCUUGGAUUUACUGAAGACUAACUACUGCGAAAGCAUUUGCCAAA